UGGGGAAUAUUGGGCAAUGGACGCAAGUCUGACCCAGUAACGCCGCGUGAAGGAAGAAGGCUUUCGGGUUGUAAACUUCUUUUAAGGGGGUAACGAGUAGAUGACGGUACCUGGAGAAAAAGACAACGGCUAACUACGUGCCAGCAGCCGCGGUAAUACGUAGGUUGCAAGCGUUGUCCGGAUUUACUGGGUGUAAAGGGCGUGUAGGCGGAGAUGCAAGUUGGGAGUGAAAUCCAUGGGCUCAACCCAUGAACUGCUCUCAAAACUGUAUCCCUUGAGUAUCGGAGAGGCAAGCGGAAUUCCUAGUGUGGCGGUGAAAUGCGUAGAUAUUAGGAGGAACACCAGUGGCGAAGGCGGCUUGCUGGACGACAACUGACGCUGAGGCGCGAAAGCGUGGGGAGCAAACAGGAUUAGAUACCCUGGUAGU
rnacentral:rRNA from 1 species